GGGACUAGGGGGUGGGCGCCGAAAGGGAGGCGGGUGAGCAGCCCGGGAAGCGCGGCAGCGCGGAGGGGAGAGAAAGAGGCUCCCAAAAGGACGCCUCGGAUCCCCCCACCCCGAGAAUGAGUCUUUCCUAGGAGGCGGAUCGCCGAGGAGCCGGAGCCCACCUAGUAUGCCACCAGGUGGCGCGCGGCCACCAGCGUCUGGGCUUGCCCUAGGCGUCCGCCUUCAGCGAUCCUGUCUGUAAAGGGCUCAUCGCGGCCGCCUCCCGAGGUCUAGCUAGGUUCUACCUGGUCAGUUCGAAGACAAAGAAUGAGAACACUGAUUCCUUGCUCGCCUCUAGUCUCCCGGGUUAUGCCGCAGCUUCCUCACUGGCUGCCCACUCCCCCGCCUGUCUCCCACCCUGACUACAACCCCGCCCCACCAAUCUGUCGGCUUGUCUAUGUCAUUGCUUGCUUAAUUUUUAAGUUCUUAUACUGGCUCGCACUCCUGCCUGAUCUGACCCCUUCCACAUUUCUCAGCCCUUCCCUCACCUGCUUGGCAGGAUGUUAUGUGAUGCUUCCUUGUAUUUACGGGUUGAGUGGCUGUACCUUAACAACACCAGUUAACCUGUACUGCAUCCUUAAUCUGUAACUGCUACUGUUCUGAGAGUUUGACAUUAACGCCAUGUUCUCUAAACCUCACAUCUGCUUUAUGGGGAGCUUUAGCUCCAAUAUUGCCCCUAUCGUAUACUGAUGAAGUCACCUGUCAGUAAUGGGGAUUCCAAACCCAGUUGGUCAAACACCAGAACUUAAACACUUGGCUCCUUCACACUGUUGGCUUCACCCAGUCCACUCCCAAACUCCUAUUCAUCUUUCAAGAUCCUGUUCAAAUAUCCUCUCAUGGA